GCCUGGGUAGCUCAGUCGGUUGAGUGACUGACUUCGGCUCAGGUCAUGAUCUCAUGGUUUGUGAGUUCGAGCCCCGCAUCGGGCU
rnacentral:tRNA from 1 species